rnacentral:lncRNA from 1 species
GGGGGGGAAUUGUCCCCCUGCUUGGCUGCUGCGAGCGUCCUACAGCAGUGCCGCCACCCCCAGGGCUUGGCACCACAACGGGUCACAGCCCAGAGGUGGCUUUUUUCCUCUAGCACAAGGUGAAUUGGGGUUGGGGGGCACCCUAAUUGUCCCUCCAGCCUAACCCUGGGGCGCACAGCGGGGCGUCCGCCACUUCCCACCCUGCCUCAGUUUCCCCAGCUGCGUGCUGAGACCGACCCCAAAGUGCCUGCACCCCCCCUUAACCCAACCUGGGGCACCCCAAGGCUUUGGAUCCCCCCCUGUGCCCCCCCUCUCCCCCCCAAGGGCGCAAAGCCGCUCACCUGGGUGCCGGGGGACCCCCGGGGCGCUGCGGGUGCCGCUGGCUGCUCGCUCGGCUCAACUUUGGCCGGGAGCCGUGGGUGGCACCCGCCGCGCCCCGGCGGCCUCCUGCGCCUCGCCCGGCCCCGCCGCACGCUGCCAGCUGCUGUGGGUGUGCACCGGGAGCCCCCGGCCCCUAAACCGGCACCCCCAGGAGGGUCCUGAGCCCCCCCCAGGUGCCGUGAGACCCCCUCGGUGCUGCCGUGAGGACCCCUGCCCGCUCCCCCCCCUUGUGCUGUGCGCGGGCACCCGGCUCUUAGCCAGCUCCUCUGGCCCCGGUGCCAACCACGUCCUGGGGACCUGGCUGUCCUCGACGUCCUGCUGGGCUGGAUCCCCUUCUGUCCUGGAUUCCCAGCUAUCCUGGGGCCCUGUCCUUCCUGGAUCCCAAAACGCCCUGGAUCUGGCCACUGCGGACCCCCCUCCAUCCCAGGUCCCCUCCAUCCCGGAUCCCCUCCAUCUCAGAUCCCCUCCAUCCCCGAUCUCCUCCAUCCCAUAUCCCCCCAGUUCUCCAUCCCCCUCCAUCCCGGAUCCCCCUCCGUUCCCAAUCCCCCUCCAUCCUAGAUCCCCUCCAUCCUGGAUGCCUUCCAUCCCGACCCCCUCCAUCCCUGAUAUUCCUCCAUCUCAGAUCCCAUCUGUCAUGGAUCCCCUCCUUCCCAGAUCCUCUCCAUCCUGGAUCCCCUCCAUCCCAGAUCCCCUCCAGCCUCAAUCCCCUUCCAUCCCCAAUCCCCCUCCAACCUGGAUCCCCUCCAUCCUCAAUCCCUCUCCAUCCCAGAUCCCCUCCAUCCCAAAUCCCCUCUCUUUUUUGGGAGCAUCACAGCAGUGUUACGGCUCCACGUGAUUCAGGCACAACGCCUCCCCGAAAGGAGCCGACCUCUGCACUGUCACCCCACCAGCAUCCAGACACCGAGGCACAUAAAAAGCUGUAAAAUGCUGUUAGAAGCCAAACAGGGAAGGGAAAAAAGGCCGAGCUCAGUAACAUGAAGCUGUUGCUUCGAGCAGCAAAUUACAUUAAGUUAUUUAAUUAAAAAGCGAGGUGGAAAGCCUGUGAACUCCUCCCGGNNNNNNNNN